CUUCCCUUCAGUUUAGUGCAAUGACUAAGUGUUUCUAGAUCUGUUCUGCUUCUUGAGGAUAUGGGAUUCUGUCUUAAAACUUCCAAGAAGGAGCAGUGCAGAAUCAGCAGAAACAUCUGUCAGGCACGUCUUCACAUGCCCCUGAAGGAGUACCUCCCCUGUUCACAAGCACACAUGAGCGGUCGGGGUCAGCCAGAAGUCGACAGAAGCGCCUUCCGUGCCCAUUGUGCGAACGUCAGGACGGAGUCUGAAUGAGAAGGACUUGUCUCCGAGGCUGAAAGGCCGGCUGGAAGGAAACAGAGUUUUCCCAUACCAGUUUAUAUGGAUUAUUAAAAACACUCUAGAAAAAAAAAUCUGAGAAAG
rnacentral:lncRNA from 1 species